UCUCUGUUAGUAUAUCGGUUAGUACACGCGCCUGUCAUUGGGUCGCGCGAAAGCGGGGUUCGACUCCCCGACAGAGAG